UGGAGGGCAAGUCUGGUGCCAGCAGCCGCGGUAAUUCCAGCUCCAAUAGCGUAUAUUAAAGUUGCUGCAGUUAAAAAGCUCGUAGUUGAAUUUCGGGACCAUCAUGUCGGUCGUGCCUCGGUACGUACUGGUAUUGUUGGUUUCUCCCUUCUGACGAACCAUGAUGUCAUUUAUUUGGUGUUGUGGGGAAUCAGGACUGUUACUUUGAAAAAAUUAGAGUGUUUAAAGCAGGCUCACGCUUGAGUACAUUAGCAUGGAAUAAUGAAAUAGGACGUUUGAUUCUAUUUUGUUGGUUUCUAGGAUCGACGUAAUGAUUAAUAGGGAUAGUUGGGGGCAUUAGUAUUCAAUUGUCAGAGGUGAAAUUCUUGGAUUUAUUGAAGACUAACUACUGCGAAAGCAUUUGCCAAGGAUGUUUUCAUUAAUCAAGAACGAAAGUUAGGGGAUCGAAGACGAUCAGAUACCGUCGUAGUCUUAACCAUAAACUAUGCCGACUAGGGAUCGGAUGAUGUUAAUUUUUUAAUGACUCAUUCGGCGCCUUACGGGAAAC
rnacentral:rRNA from 1 species